rnacentral:tRNA from 1 species
AGCGGCGUGGCCUAAUGGUUAAAGCCCCGGCCUGGGAGUCAGAGGACCUGGGUUCCAAUCCCAGCUCCUCCA